UGGGAAACAGCCAGAUUUUGACAUGCCAGCUUCCUCAGAAGAAUAAUCAGUCUGUUACCUGCAUGUGUUGGAUGUUAAUACGCAGAUGAUUGGUCUUGAAUAUAUUUCAAGUCUCAGUGUGGGCUCUCAUUCAUCCAUGCAAGAGGAGACCUAUGGCUCCAGGGUAAGACUGAUCCAUCUCUCUGGAUCCCAGUGUCCUAUGGGGUGGAAGAGGGAGGAACUGUUGUGCAGAGGAGGCAGCUUCUCUUCAUGGGAGUCCAUUGGGUCUGGGUCCAAAUGGCUGGACAUGCACAGACCCUGCACUGUGUCCCUGAGCACCCUGUCCCUACUGUGUGCACCAGCACUCCCUGCGCAGUGCUUGGGUCUUGGUCCAGAUGUACAUAAAUGACAUUUAACAUUAUUAGUGACAGGAUGAGGGGAAAUGGCUUUAAACUGGAAGAGGGUCAGUUUAGACUGGAUAUUAGGAAGAAAUUCUUUACUGUGAGGAUGGUGAGAUGCUGGAACAGGUUGCUCAGAGAGGUAAUGGAUGCCACCAUGUUGAAAGCAUUCAAGGCCAGGCUGGAAGGGGCUGUGAGCCAACCUGGUCUAGAGGGCAGUGUCCCUCUCUAUAGCAGGGCAUUGGAACGAGGUGAUCUCAAAGAUCCCUUCCAACCCAAACCAUUCUAUGAUAUUAGAUUUAAUUUGGACAAAACCCCCAUAUAUUAGGUCUUCCUUACAGGACCCAGUAGUCCAAUAGCUUUCACUCCCAAACCAGCUGCUUUUGCAUCAGAUUCUUAGAAAAUCCAUACAGUAAGUUGGGAUAAUGCACUGGGGUUUUGGUGUGUGCUUUUGUUUUCCACACAGGAGGAAAUCUGUAACUAAUGGGAGUUUCCAUUUAUGAGGAGAUUCUACAGCUCUUCCAGCAUUCCCUUGCACUGGUCCUAGGCGUCAGAGAGGUGUUGCUGCUGCGGGAGCUGGUGGUGCCCAAAAGAUGGCGCAGGGUGAAGAUGUUGGCUCUUUGCAAGGCUACAUCUCCAGUUGCUUGUAUUACCUCUGCUGAGCUGCACUGCACAUCCCAGAUGGCUUUGGUGGCUCGGGGAGCAGGGACAGCAAAAUUCACUGGUUUCAGUUUAUGGUGUGAUGGAAGACAGAUCUUAUCAGAAACAUCUCUAAUGUCAUCUGGUUGGCCAAGAAACCUACAGGAGAUGAGUAGCAGGGAAAUCAUGCACACACUGAUGCAUUUGGAAUUCUCUGUCCAGUGUCUCCAUGCUGCCCUGCAGACCUUCAGAGGGAAGUAGGAACUGGAUGAUCUUUGAGGUCCCUUCCAACCCAAGCCAUUCUAUGAUUCUGUGAAUACAUUGCACCCAGCUUUCAAUCUGAACUGUGGCGACCUACCUAAGGAAAUUGCAGAGGCUGCUGCUACAAUCAGAGGUGGGAAGUAGGCACUUCCAAGUAGUAAUUCAUGUCACCUAUUUUAGAU
rnacentral:lncRNA from 1 species